GGUGAACGCUGGCGGCGUGCCUAAUACAUGCAAGUCGAGCGAACGGACGAGAAGCUUGCUUCUCUGAUGUUAGCGGCGGACGGGUGAGUAACACGUGGAUAACCUACCUAUAAGACUGGGAUAACUUCGGGAAACCGGAGCUAAUACCGGAUAAUAUUUUGAACCGCAUGGUUCAAAAGUGAAAGACGGUCUUGCUGUCACUUAUAGAUGGAUCCGCGCUGCAUUAGCUAGUUGGUAAGGUAACGGCUUACCAAGGCAACGAUGCAUAGCCGACCUGAGAGGGUGAUCGGCCACACUGGAACUGAGACACGGUCCAGACUCCUACGGGAGGCAGCAGUAGGGAAUCUUCCGCAGUGGGCGAAAGCCUGACGGAGCAACGCCGCGUGAGUGAUGAAGGUCUUCGGAUCGUAAAACUCUGUUAUUAGGGAAGAACAUAUGUGUAAGUAACUGUGCACAUCUUGACGGUACCUAAUCAGAAAGCCACGGCUAACUACGU
rnacentral:rRNA from 1 species